CUCUGUCUCUUUUCUCUUCCCCUUCUUUCUAUUUCUCUCUCUCUUUCUGUCUCUUUCUCUUUUCUCUCUUUUUCCCUCUCUCUGUCUCUUUUCUCUUCCCCAUUUUUCUAUUUCUCUCUUUCUGUCUCUUUCCUCCUUUUUCUUUCAUUCUCCCCUUUCUCUCUCUCUUUUCUCUUCCUCCUCUAUUUCUCUCUCUUUCUGUCUUUCUCUUUUCUCUUUUUCUUUCUCUUUUUUUCCCUCUCUGUCUCUUACUCUUCCCCAUCUAUUUCUCUCUGUGUGUGUGUGUGUCUUUCUCUUUUCUCCUUUUCUUUCUCUCUUUUUCCCUCUCUCUGUCUCUUACUCUUCCCAGUCUUUCUAUUUCUCUCUCUCUGUCUCUUUUCUCUUUUUCUUUCUCUUUUUUCCUCUCUGUCUCUUACUCUUCCCCAUCUAUUUCUCUCUCUCUGUGUGUGUGUGUCUCUUUCUCUUUUCUCUUUUUCUUUCUCUCUUUUCCCUCUGUCUCUUCCCCUUCCUUCUAUUUCUCUCUCUCUUUCUGUCUCUUUCUCUUUUCUCUUUUUCUCUCUUUUUCCUUCUCUCUGUCUCUUUUCUCUUCCCCAUCUUUCUAUUUCUCUCUCUCUGUGUGUGUCUCUUUCUCUUUUCUCUUUUUCUUUCUCUCUUUUUCCCUCUCUCUGUCUCUUUUCUCUUCCCCAUCUUUCUAUUUCUCUCUCUCUUUUUGUCUCUUUCUCCUUUUUCUUUCAUUCUCCCCUUUCUCUCUCUCUCUUUUCUCUUCCUCCUCUUUCUAUUUUUCUCUCUCUCUCUUUUCUCCUUUUUUCUUUCUCUUUCCCUUCUUUUUUCUCUCCCUUUUCUCCUCUUUCUCCUUCCCCUUCUCUCCUUUUCUCUCUCUCUCUCUCUCCCCCACCCCUUCCCACUUGUGCCCCCUGGUUCUUUAGCCCAGCAGCUGAAGCCCUCUGGAGAUGGAGAUUUGGAGGGACGGGAAAUGGGGGACAGCCAGAUUUCCAGCGCAGAGAAGAAGAGUGAAGGCAAAGCUGCAGCUGU
rnacentral:lncRNA from 1 species